rnacentral:lncRNA from 1 species
CAAGGUCUUAAAUAGUCGGGUAAGUUAUCAUAACUUAACUGCAUAGUUGCCCGACUAUAGUCUUCAGACUCACGGUCAAGAUAGGAAAAUAGAGCUUUUUUAACCUUAUGCCACCAAGAUCUUUCCAUUUUCUUCCUUUUGAUUAUUCCAGCUACCAAGACAACCACUAGGGGCAACCCUUUGCAACGUCUUGCAACAUCUAGACUCACAUCGUGUAGUUCAGGUGGGCAAGUUUCCACCAACCCGUAAUCUUCUGGUCACAUGGCAACUACUUUAGUUCGUCCUCAUAAAAAAAUUUUAGUUACCAAAUCAGUGAAAAAUGAGAUAAUAGCAAGUGAAACCAACAUAAAUAUUUUGAAAAGAAGCAACGGAAUCAAAAGUUAAUAUUCAGUCUUACAAUGAAGCAAGCGCGAAAAGGGUACAACUAGUCGGGUUUGCAAAGCGAUAACUAGAAAUGACGGUUAAAAAAAAACAAGCGCGAAAAGAGUAGUCUGUAAGUUUUUCUUACAUGUGUGUGGCCCAGUUGGUUUAAGGUCCGUAAUUAAUAUUUAAUUAAUGACUAAAUCUUACCCGUCCAAUAGGUUACUUGAUGGAUGUACCAGAUUAAGUGAGAACCUCUAUAAAUUGGUCCGCUGUUACCACUUAAAUUUCUACAUACAAUCCCAUCAUUGACGGCUGUGGUAAUGUAAGGCUAGGGCUAGGAGGUAGAAAACUAUUUCUAUAAAUGCUUUCGCUUUGUGAUAAUUGUUGCUGCUUCAGGUAUGUUUAAUUAUAUAUAAGAUUAUCACGUUCAAGAUCUUGAUAUUAAUUAAAGUUUAUGUUUACAUAGUCUUCUUUUGCCCUCUUUUGUGUGUGUGUGUCUCCAAUUUUAUGAUCUUGUAAGGAGAAAAAGUGUAUUAGGAGCUACUAUGCUUGUGAAAGAUUAUACACAUUCUGCAUUUUUUUUUUAAUGAAAACUUUCACAAAUUGCUUCCCUUAGGUUUUGAUAUCAAAUAUAUUAUACGAACUUCCCUUCUUUCAUAUUUUUUUAGGUAAGUAACAACAACAACAACAACAACUACCCAGUAUAUUCCCACCAGGUGGGGUCUGGGGAGGAAGAGAUCAUAACUACAACAACAACAACAACAACAACAACAACUACCCAGUAUAUUCCCACCAGGUGGGGUCCGGGGAGGGUAAUAUGUGAGCCUUACCCCUGCCCGAGAGGGCAGAGAGGCUGUUUCCAAUCGACCCUCGGCGUAUAGGAUAACAAAGGAAAAGCUGCAUUAAGAAACAAAGGUAAAAUUAGAAACACAAGCAAGACAAAACCAAAUAAUAAAGCAUAAGUACUCCCGCAGAAAUAACGUAAAUAAUUAUGAAAACAUAAGCAACAUAGAUACAGUCACAUGCAAUAAUAAAAUAAAGCAUAAGUACUCCCGCAGAAAUAACGUAAAUAAUUAUGAAAACAUAAGCAACAUAGAUACAGUCGCAUGCAAUAAUAACAAGCAGUAACUACCAUACUAACAACCAUAUGGGGACAUAAGCUAAAACACUAAUCACCUAUAAGUAACCCUACUAUCCCACACCCAACCCCUGGAUAGGCUACGAAGAACUCUAUGAGCCCCUAGCCUACAAUCCUGAUUUUAGACCUCCAGACUCCCUUAUCAAGGGUCAUGUCCUCGGUAACCUGCAUUCUGGUCAUGUUCUGCCUAAUCACCUCUCCCUAGGGGUGUUCAUCGGGCGGAUUGAGCGGCUUUUACUCUUAACGGUUUGGCUUAACGGUUAUCGGCUUUUAAAUGUAUUAAUCCGUUAGCCACCCGAUAAGAUAUCGGGCGGAUUGGUAUCGGGUUAGCUCUUAUCGGACGGUUACCGGGCGGUUUAUCGGUUUAAUACCUAUGGGGUUAUCGAAAAGAUUAUACAUAUUCGGAGUACGUGUGUCUGUUAUUGGACAUAGACAUAGACUUCCCAUAACUUUGCGGAAAGAACUAAAGGAAGCCAUACUUUCCUUUCAACAAAGACACAGACGUUUUGGUGAACAUACAUAUUGAAACAUUACUUUCCCUCGUAUCUCUUCUCUUCUUAUUCAUAUGUUUGGUAAAGAAAUUUUGGAAGAGCUGCAUAA